rnacentral:rRNA from 1 species
UAGAGGUUUUGAUCCUGGCGUCAGGAUGAACGCUGGCGGCGUGCUUAACACAUGCAAGUCGAACGAUGAAGCCCGGUGCUUGCACCGGGUGGAUUAGUGGCGAACGGGUGAGUAUCACGUGAGCAACCUGCCCUUGACUCUGGGAUAAGCCUGGGAACUGGGUCUAAUACCGGAUACGACCAGUCACCGCAUGGUGUGCUGGUGGAAAGCUUUAGCGGUUUUGGAUGGACUCGCGGCCUAUCAGCUAGACGGUGAGGUAAUGGCUCACCGUGGCGAUGACGGGUAGCCGGCCUGAGAGGGUGACCGGCCACACUGGGACUGAGACACGGCCCAGACUCCUACGGGAGGCAGCAGUGGGGAAUAUUGCACAAUGGGCGAAAGCCUGAUGCAGCGACGCCGCGUGUGGGAUGACGGCCUUCGGGUUGUAAACCACUUUCAGCAGGGAAGAAGCUUUUGUGACGGUACCUGCAGAAGAAGCGCCGGCUAACUACGUG